rnacentral:rRNA from 1 species
AUUGAACGCUGGCGGCAGGCUUAACACAUGCAAGUCGAGCGAACGGCGGACGGGUGAGUAAUUUCUGGGAAACUGCCUGAUGGAGGGGGAUAACUUCUGGAAACGGUCGCUAAUACCGCAUACCAUCCGAUGUUCCCAGAUGGGAUUAGCUAGUAGGUGGGGUAAUGGCUCACCUAGGCGACGAUCCCUAGCUGGUCUGCGAGGAUGACCAGACACACUGGAACUGAGACACGGCUCAGACUCGUACGGGAGGCAGCAGUGGGGAAUAUUGGACAAUGGGGGCAAGCCUGAUGCAGCCAGGCCGCGUGUGUGAAGAAGGCCUUCGGGUUGUAAAGCACUGUCAGCGAGGAGGCGUUACUCGCAGAAGAAGCACCGGCUAACUCCGUGCCAGCCGCCGCGGUAAUUC